rnacentral:rRNA from 1 species
GACGAACGCUGGCGGCGCUCCUAACACAUGCAAGUCGAACGGAGAUAAGAGGGAGCUUGCUUCCUGUUAUCUGAGUGGCGGACGGGUGAGUAACGCGUGAGUAACCUGCCUUAAAGAGGGGGAUAACGUCUGGAAACGGACGCUAAUACCGCAUGACAUACGGACAUGGCAUCAUGAUCGUAUCAAAGGAGCAAUCCGCUUUAAGAUGGACUCGCGUCCAAUUAGCUAGUUGGUGAGGUAACGGCCCACCAAGGCGACGAUUGGUAGCCGGACUGAGAGGUUGAACGGCCACAUUGGGACUGAGACACGGCCCAGACUCCUACGGGAGGCAGCAGUGGGGAAUAUUGCACAAUGGGGGGAACCCUGAUGCAGCGACGCCGCGUGAGGGAAGAAGGUUUUCGGAUUGUAAACCUCUGUCCUUGGUGACGAUAAUGACGGUAGCCAAGGAGGAAGCCACGGCUAACUACGUGCCAGCAGCCGCGGUAAUACGUAGGUGGCAAGCGUUGUCCGGAAUUACUGGGUGUAAAGGGAGCGUAGGCGGGAAGGCAAGUUGGAAGUGAAAUGUAUGGGCUUAACCCAUAAACUGCUUUCAAAACUGUUUUUCUUGAGUGAAGUAGAGGCAGGCGGAAUUCCUAGUGUAGCGGUGAAAUGCGUAAAUAUUAGGAGGAACACCAGUGGCGAAGGCGGCCUGCUGGGCUUUAACUGACGCUGAGGCUCGAAAGCGUGGGUAGCAAACAGG